UACCCCAAAAGUACGCGCGCUAUCUUCCCCGGCAGCCGUUAAACGACGGCUGGUUCUUCGGCCCCUCUCAGUUCUCGAUCCUCAACUCCAUUUCCCCCCUGAAAUCCUCCGGAAUAAUGAAAACCCCUUGAAUUCGAACUAAGAUCGAAUCUGAAACUCGUUGAGAUUAAGCUCAGAACUGCUGAAAGACGCGGUGACUUGGAAUCGACGAGAUACUCCCCGAGAUUCUCGCGUGCCCUCUUUCCGAUCAAUCCUUUUGAGGUUUGAUUUCCUUUCGCACAAUCUCUCGAUUCGAUCGAUCGUCUCUAUUGCUGAUUUCCUUGUCAGGGCUCGCGAGAAGACGAAUUCGCUUGUCAACGACGCCAUCGGUGUCUCUUUCCCCAAUCCAUGUUUGGUUCAAAGGAUGGUAAGAUAAUCGAAGAGGAAGGCGGUGCAUCAAAAGUUUGAUGAAUUUGCUUCGCAACCUAAAACUGGACAUUUCGAUCAGAACAAGGCAGCAUUCUCUUUCUUGUGCUUUGGUCCAUUUUGGAGUUUCACUAAAUUGUUGUUGAAGCAAAAGCAAUAGAGAGCCAAACCCAGAUGAUAGGAAGUGAAUGGAGGUAGGGUAAGAUGGGAUAUAUAUAUAUAUAUAUAUAUAUAUAUAACAGAAUCACACAUAUAUAUACUAAACCAUUGCUGUGCUUAGUAUCUAAGAAACCACAGGUUUGAGAGCUGAAACAGUAGAGUAUAUAAACACAGUGAUCGCUUGAUUUGAGGACGCCUUUUAGUGUUUAGUAUUCUCGUGGACCGGAACAGUAGUUGAAAGCAAUAUUCAAAGCAGUAUUGGAUAUUGACUUGAUGGGUGCAGAGUGUACCGUACAACGUGAAGAUAGAAUUUGGCCAGGGGAGGAGGAACAAUGUAUAAUGGAGGCAUAGAGUCCCACUUUUGGUAAAUAUUCCUCUCAACUUGAUGAUACUAUAUUUACAAGAUAUGAGGCCGGGAUGUUCUCUUCUCUUUUGUUUCUGGUUGCUAAUAAAUCAAAUAAGGAAUAAAACCCGGAAACAGAUCAGGAAGCAUCAUCAUUUAGGCUUAUCCCCAUUAGGUGAUUGGGAGUGGAUUGGAGAAAAGAAGGAACAAUUCACUUGACAAAACAAUGCCUAUAAAGUAGCAUAUAUGGUGAUCAGCAGUACAAGUAAAAGAAUAGUGCAGUGGUAUUGGUAUUCACCUAUCAUAUUCUCCCUUGACCAAAUUGAAGUGGGGUUGACUGGUUUCCCAUUGGGUUGGGGGUUUGAUCAGAAUGGCAACUUGUUGGCUACAAUGGAAUCCAGACAAAAGAAGAAAGUUGUGAUAAUAGAGCUGAAAGAAAGUAAAUGCCUCAGCCUCAUUAAUAGGGUCCGGUCUUGAGGUUAGCAAUUUCAAGCUCCAGCUCAUUUGUAUAAGCCUGCAGAAUCACAAAUACCAAAACCCACAAGUGCAAGAGCUUUCUCAGAUGCCAAAAACACCUCAUU